AGGUUGCUAUGAGGUCUCCAUGCAAUCUUCUCUUCUCCAGGCUGAACAGUCCCAAAUUUCUCAAUCUGUCUUGGUAAGGGAGGUGCUCCAGAACCCUUUUCUUU